ensembl:snRNA U2 U2 spliceosomal RNA
AUUGAUUCUCGGCCUUUUGGCUAAGAUCAAGUGUAGUAUACACAUACAAUUUUUCAUAGACUUUAUUUUUGGAGCAGUUUUAGGUUCACGCAAAACUGAGCAGAAUAGAGAUUUCCAUCAUUUGCUCUGCUUCCUUC